UCGGGAAUUUUGGGCAAUGGGCGAAAGCCUGACCCAGCAACGCCGCGUGAGAGAUGAAGUAUUUCGGUAUGUAAACCUCGAAAGAAUGGGAAGAAUAAAUGACGGUACCAUUUAUAAGCUCCGGCUAACUACGUGCCAGCAGCCGCGGUAAUACGUAGGGAGCAAGCGUUGUUCGGAUUUACUGGGCGUAAAGGGCGCGUAGGCGGCGCGGUAAGUCACUUGUGAAAUCUCUGAGCUUAACUCAGAACGGCCAAGUGAUACUGCUGUGCUAGAGUGCGGAAGAGGCAACCGGAAUUCUGGGUGUAGCGGUGAAAUGCGUAGAUAUCAAGAGGAACACCUGAGGCGAAGGCGGGUUGCUGGGCCGACACUGACGCUGAUGCGCGAAAGCCAGGGGAGCAAACG
rnacentral:rRNA from 1 species